rnacentral:rRNA from 1 species
CACGUAGGGGGCGAGCGUUGUCCGGAUUUAUUGGGCGUAAAGAGCUCGUAGGCGGCUCGGUAAGUCAGGUGUGAAAACUCUAGGCUCAACCUAGAGACGCCACCUGAUACUGCUGUGACUCGAGUCCGGUAGGGGAGCGUGGAAUUCCUGGUGUAGCGGUGAAAUGCGCAGAUAUCAGGAGGAACACCAGCGGCGAAGGCGGCGCUCUGGGCCGGAACUGACGCUGAGGAGCGAAAGCGUGGGUAGCAAACAGG